rnacentral:misc_RNA from 1 species
GAUGAAGAACGUAGCGAAAUGCAAUAAGUAAUGUGAAUUGCAGAAUUCAGUGAAUCAUCGAAUCUUUGAACGCACAUUGCGCCCCCCAGUAUUCUGGCGGGCAUGCCUGUUCGAGCGUCAUUUCAACCAUCAAGCCCUGCUUGUGUUGGGGUCCUGCGGCUGCCCGCAGGCCCUGAAAACCAGUGGCGGGCUCGCUAGUCACACCGAGCGCAGUAGCACAUCUCGCUCAGGGCGUGCGGCGGGCUCCAGCCGUUAAAGCACCCACCUUUCGCAAGGUUGACCUCGGAUCAGGUAGGAAUACCCGCUGAACUUAAGCAUAUCAAUAAGCGGAGGA